UACGUAGGUGGCAAGCGUUGUCCGGAAUUAUUGGGCGUAAAGCGCGCGCAGGUGGUUUCUUAAGUCUGAUGUGAAAGCCCACGGCUCAACCGUGGAGGGUCAUUGGAAACUGGGGAACUUGAGUGCAGGAGAGAAGAGUGGAAUUCCACGUGUAGCGGUGAAAUGCGUAGAGAUGUGGAGGAACACCAGUGGCGAAGGCGGUCUCCUGGCAUUCUUGACGCUGAGGCGCGAAAGCUGGGGGAGCAAACGGG
rnacentral:rRNA from 1 species